CCCAGAUUCUUCACUAUCUGCCGGUACACAGUCUGCUGCACCUCUGGGUGCCUCGCGAGGAGGACAUCGGAAGAGCAAACUCUGAAAUCCAGUCAC